GUGCUUGCACUAUGACUUAGCGGCGGACGGGUGAGUAAUACUUAGGAAUCUGCCUAUUAAUGGGGGACAACAUCUCGAAAGGGAUGCUAAUACCGCAUACGCCCUACGGGGGAAAGCAGGGGAUCUUCGGACCUUGCGUUAAUAGAUGAGCCUAAGUCGGAUUAGCUAGUUGGUGGGGUAAAGGCCUACCAAGGCGACGAUCUGUAGCGGGUCUGAGAGGAUGAUCCGCCACACUGGGACUGAGACACGGCCCAGACUCCUACGGGAGGCAGCAGAAGGG
rnacentral:rRNA from 1 species